GACGAACGCUGGCGGCGUGCCUAACACCUGCAAGUCGAACGAAGUGGCGAACGGGUGAGUAACGCGUAAUCAACCUGCUCUCCAGAGGGGGACAACAGUUGGAAACGACUGCUAAUACCGCAUACUGAAGGAGGGGAUUGCGUCCGAUUAGCUAGUUGGAGGGGAAACGGCCCACCAAGGCGAUGAUCAGUAGCCGGUCUGAGAGGAUGAUCGGCCACAUUGGGACUGAGACACGGCCCAGACUCCUACGGGAGGCAGCAGUGGGGAAUAUUGCACAAUGGGCGCAAGCCUGAUGCAGCCAUGCCGCGUGUAUGAAGAAGGCCUUCGGGUUGUAAAGUCCUUUCGGCAAGGAGCGUUACUCACAGAAGAAGCACCGGCUAACUCCGUGCCAGCAGCCGCGGUAAUAC
rnacentral:rRNA from 1 species